rnacentral:rRNA from 1 species
CGUAGGGGGCAAGCGUUGUCCGGAUUUAUUGGGCGUAAAGAGCUCGUAGGCGGCUCGGUAAGUCGGAUGUGAAACCUCCAGGCUCAACCUGGAGACGCCAUCUGAUACUGCCGUGGCUUGAGUCCGGUAGAGGAGCAGGGAAUUCCUGGUGUAGCGGUGAAAUGCGCAGAUAUCAGGAGGAACACCAGCGGCGAAGGCGCUGCUCUGGGCCGGUACUGACGCUGAGGAGCGAAAGCGUGGGGAGCGAACAGG